rnacentral:lncRNA from 1 species
CCUAGGUCUUUUUCUGCCAAGCUACUUUCAGGCUGGGUGCCCCCCAGAAUGUUCUGGUGCCUGGGAUUGUUUUUGACCAGGUGCAGGACUCUGCACUUCUCCUUGCUGAACUCCAUGAGGUUCUUUACUGCCCACUUCUCCAGCCUGUCCAAGUACCUUUGGAUGGUCCCCACAAUCCUCUGGUAUAUUCACCACUCCCCUCACUUAUUUGUCAUCUGCAAGCUUGCUGAGGGUAUGUUCUGCCCCACUGUCCAGAUCAUUAGUAAAGAUAUUACACUGGACUGGGCCCAGUAUUGAUCUCUGGAGUACACCACUAGUUACUGGUUUCCAAGGAAAUUCUGUGCAACUGAUCACUUUUCUUUGGGUUCAGCCAUUCAGCUACUUUUCAGUUCACCCCAGUGAGCACAUCCAGCCCUUCCAUCAACAGCGCUGAAAAUUUGGCUGCAAUUGCUUACAAAAGCAGCGACUUGUCUCAUAACACCCUCCUCCAUCCCCAGAAAUGUCCCCAGACAUCCCCCCAGAAAUGCCACUGCACCAAAAAAACACAGCUUACUUCUAGAGAAUGACGUGACUGAAAAAGCAAAGCAUUCACACUAAGGUGAGCCAGAAAUAUCGUUGGUCUGGAUCACAAGAAACAUGUUGCCAACCAGCGACAGUAUGAUGAUGGAGGUGAAUGGUGUCAUUGUGAUCUGGCACUGUUUUCACACAUUUGUAGUUUGCUAAAAGGCACUACAUAGGUGAGGAACAAAAGCACAGCACAAUCCUGGUUAUUUAACGUCACUGUUGAAUGAACAAGGGCAUCUUUCAGAUUCUUGGCCUUUGAACUGUUAUAAGAAUAUCAGCAAAAAAUAAUACUUCGACAUGUUUUCUUAACCAGGAUGCCACAGUGAAUUGUGUGGACCAGACAAGGUGGCUGAAUGGGAGUAAUCACACAGUGCUGGGCAGAGCAGUGUCUGAGGGGAAAAGAAACCAGGGAGCCUGAGGCGCUUGAACCAAGAACUGAACGACGCCAAUCCCAAAUAGUGCCGUGAGCUUAUGAUCAAGCCCUGUUUGUGAAGCUCUGACUCACCGAACAGUCUACCAGGACCCUGAAAGCAAACUGUGGGAAGAGCCCUGUGGAGCCGACAUAACAACUGACAACUUUGCUUCUUCCCCAAGACCACACUGGGACAGGAUGAAAACAGGAUCAGGGCUCUGCAGUGGAGCAGCAGCGUCGUGAUGCACCAAGGUGCACAGAAUGAAAGCAGAGAGCUACACAUAACAUGUCCAAAUCUUUGAAGCUGCAAAGGACUUUGAAACAAAUCCACAAAUUUGCCAUGUGGCAGUGGACAGAAGGCAAAGAGCCACAUUUUCCUUGCCUUUCCAGUGGAGCUAGAACUGUUCCCCAAGACAACAGUUUAAGAGACGGACAUGGCUGAACUUCUGACACAGGCACUGGUCUGACCACUAGGAGUUGUUACUGGCUUUUGGGGGAAAGUAAAACAUCCCAAUGACUUCGCUCUCUGUUCCUCACCAGCCAUUUUCACCAUCUAAUAUCUUGGAACAUUUAAUUGUAACAGAACAUUUCAUGUGGCUCAU